rnacentral:rRNA from 1 species
CCUACGGGUGGCAGCAGUGAGGAAUAUUGGUCAAUGGGCGUAAGCCUGAACCAGCCAAGUCGCGUGAGGGAUGAAGGUUCUAUGGAUCGUAAACCUCUUUUAUAAGGGAAUAAAGUGUGGGACGUGUCCUAUGUUGUAUGUACCUUAUGAAUAAGGAUCGGCUAACUCCGUGCCAGCAGCCGCGGUAAUACGGAGGAUCCGAGCGUUAUCCGGAUUUAUUGGGUUUAAAGGGUGCGUAGGCGGCCUUUUAAGUCAGCGGUGAAAGGCGGUGGCUCAACCAUGGAAUGGCCGUUGAAACUGGGGGUCUUGAGUAUGUGUGAGGCAGGCGGAAUGCGUGGUGUAGCGGUGAAAUGCUUAGAUAGCGCGCAGAACCCCGAUUGCGAAGGCAGCCUGCCGGUCCAUGACUGACGCUGAGGCACGAAAGCGUGGGGAUCAAACAGGAUUAGAUACCCGAGUAGUC